CGAGGUUUUGCAUGUGUUAUAUAUCCCUUUGAAUUUUCUAAGAAAUGAUCGACGUCAAUCUCUCCCUCACUCUUUUUCUUUAAAUGCCGUAAAUGGGAAGACAUACGGAUUAGUGUGUGUCAGAAAAUGGAAUAGAUUUAUAUGGAAAGAACAAAAAGGAAGGUAGGAACCAUUAAGUAAUGGUGCGUCGUGUACGAAUGGUCCAACGAUG
rnacentral:lncRNA from 1 species